UUCCCCUUUUUGUUUGAUUAUUUUGGAUCGAUUUUGUUUCAAAAUUAUUGUUUCGUGGUUUUUUAUCCACAGAAUAAGAUAAUCCUUAUAGUUUCUUUGAUGUUAGCUUUUCGAUGAAUGUUAACACUAUAAAUUAAAUUACCAUAUUUUCUGGAAGUGAAUCCAUUUCCCCAUAUCUGAAACUCUAGAUAUGCUCGGAAGUUACUUAGAAUUUUCCCAUAGGCCUGUAUAUGCUAUUUUUUCUUUAUCGUAUGCUAACUUUUUUUGUUUUUUUUUUCCCUUUCGGGUUUUGGAUUUUGUAGAUAUGCGAAGCAAGAUUUUUUGCGCCGGGUGUAGAACGGUGCUUCUUUACCCCAGAGGAGCUACUAAUGUUUGCUGCGCAAUAUGUAAUAUGAUCACUCCUGCGCCUCCUGGUGUUGAUAUUGCCGGUGGUAGUUUGCUUAUUCCUCUUAAGCUUCAAGAGUGAGUAAUAUCAAUUUGAAAUAUUACAAUUUAUUGUUCUUUGCAUUGCACAAAUACGAGCAUUAUCACUUUGCAAAUGGUAUUAUCUCUAAUUAGGGCACCCGUUGCUUAUGUUUUAUGUAAUUAUUUUCUAUAGCAACUGCAUUCGUCCAGUAGUUUGCAGGUCUGUUUUCUUCGUUGACAGCAUGCGACUCCCUUCAACAUUGUAUUGUUCAUCCAUGGUAGUUGAAGAGGUCAUUAGAUGAGUAUCUUUGAUAGAGAAAAGAGCAGGUGAAUAGAAAGAUUUACAAUAGAAAUAUCAGUAAAUAAUCCCCGUGGUCAUCCAAAAGGCCAAUACAAAGGCUAAUUUUCUCCUGUCCAAAUGCUUACCCAAAGCCCUUAUUUAGUAAUUGCGACUCCUAAUAAUUUUGCACAUAACCAGACGAGGUUUUCAAUUCUUUCCUUAUUUGUGUGCACAUCCAAAGGGAAUAUCAUAAACCUCCCUAUAAGUUUUGCUCAGCAAGGAAUGUUUCAUUUUUUUUCCCUUAGAAAGAGGAUCAAUAAUGCUUCCCCAUUUCCCCCCUGUGAUGACUCGAACCCCCGACCUAAUGGUUGGAGGGGAAGCAUGUUACCAACGGAGCUGCACUUCGUUGUUCGCUCAGUAAAGGAUGUUGUCAGGAUACAGUAUCCAACAUCUCCUAGAUGAUUUAUUUUGCUCUGUUAGAGUGAAAAUAGGAUUUGUGGUAGUAAUCUUCUUAUAUUGAAUCCUUCUCAUCUAUUCUUGAUUUUUAUCUGAUUGUUGCUGAACAAUGAAUUUGCGGCCCCAGCAUCAGCAGCACCACCACCAGCACCUCCACCAGCUCCUAGUAAUGUUGCUCAUGUCAACUGUGGAAACUGCCAUACCAUGCUGAUGUAUCCUGCUGGAGCUCCAUCAGUUAAAUGUGCAAUUUGCCAUUUCAUUACAAAUGUUAAUAAUGGCAACACAAGGGUCCCUAUUCCUGUACAUAGACCUGGAGGGAUCACGACAUCUGCAUCACCACCUACUUACUUGGCACCAUCUCAGUCUCACAGUCAAACAGUCGUCGUGCAUAAUCCCAGGAGCUCUACCUCUGGGACUCCGUGGCGGCGUCGGCUCGCACAGUCUUGGCGCUUCGCUACAAGCUGUUGCCGUAUUUCUACACGUUGAUGUACGAGGCCAGCACCAAGGGCGUGCCUAUUGCGAGGCCGCUCUUCUUCUCCUUCCCUGCUGACGCCAACACUUAUGGAAACAACGCUCAGUUUUUAGUGGGAAGGAGCGUGCUCGUCUCGCCCGUGCUGGAACAGGGCGCGCUCUCAGUGAAUGCCUAUUUUCCCAAGGGGAAUUGGUUCAACAUGUUCAACUACUCGAGCUCCUUGAGCCUCAAGCAGGGGGGGUACGUGCAGCUGGACGCGCCGGCUGAAUCCAUCAACGUGCAUGUUGGCCAUGGGAGCAUCGUAGCGAUGCAGGGCGAGGCGAUGACGACGCAGGGGGCGAGGGCCACGCCGUUCCAUUUGCUGGUUGUGAUGGGAGAGAGUGGGAAUAGCUCCGGGCAAGUGUUCUUGGAUGAUGGUGAUGAUUUGGAGUUUGCAGGCGAGGGAGGGAGAUGGAGCUUAGUCACAUUUAACGCUGGUUUGGUGGGGAAUCAAGUGAUUGUUGAAUCGAGUGUUUUGAAUGGGGAUUUUGGUCUGAGCCAGAACUAGACCGUUGGUAGUGCCACCAUUCUUGGAUUGAGGAAGAACAGCACACAAGGAUGUGAGCUGCCUGCUGACAGCAAUGGAUUUGUAAAAUUGGAGGUGUCGAAUUUGUCUUUGCCUAUUGGGAAAGACUUCAAGAUUCAGACCAACCCUUGUCAGCAAAAGAGGCUUCACUGGUUAAGGGGUUAGCUUAUGCUUGAGGAGUAUGAGUUAUUGUCCGGAUGGAAUGCAUGUUCAGCCACUCAUGUGUUUAAUUAAAUAAAAUGUGAAACUUCGCUACUGUAGCUUGAUUAUAUGCUUGGUUUGCCAUUUAUGUGAUGAAAUAAAAUGUAUAUGAUUCGUUAUUAUGUUGA